GCUCGUUUCUGCAGCAUAUACUAAAACUGGAACAAUACAGAGAAGAUUAGCAUGGCUCCUGCACAAGGAUGACAUGCAGCGUUCCAUAUUUAA
rnacentral:snRNA from 1 species